rnacentral:rRNA from 1 species
UUAAACGUCCAUACCACGUUGAAUACACCGGUUCUCGUCCGUUCAUCGAAGUCAAGCAACGUCGGACGUGGUAUGAAACUCGGUAAAUGGUAUGACAUUAGGU